rnacentral:rRNA from 1 species
UACGUAGGGUGCAAGCGUUGUCCGGAAUUAUUGGGCGUAAAGAGCUCGUAGGCGGUCUGUCGCGUCUGCUGUGAAAACUCGGGGCUUAACCCCGGGCCUGCAGUGGGUACGGGCAGACUAGAGUGCGGUAGGGGAGACUGGAAUUCCUGGUGUAGCGGUGAAAUGCGCAGAUAUCAGGAGGAACACCGGUGGCGAAGGCGGUUCUCUGGGCAUGACCUGACGCUGAGGAGCGAAAGUGUGGGGAGCGAACAGG